CCCAAAUAUGGGGAGCAGUCCCUCCUCUGGGCUAGGGACUUUGUUUCCUCCAUUGUCAUCACUGACUGUGAGCAGACUCUAGUCUAUGCAGACUAAUGAGGAGUUAUCAAAAUGAGCUCCAAACUCCGGAUUUGAGUUAAGGAUCAUAAAUUAACACAGAGAAAUAUGACUUUAGCAAUAAGUGACUGUUUGAAGCCCAAGUUGCCUUAAAACACGGAAUUUCAGUCUUUCAGCUCCUCUGCUAAUCUAGUGACUAAGAACAGGAUCUCACUGGAGCUCAAAGAUGUGGGGCACUGGGAAUACUCUGGGUCUGUCUGCUCACGGCUGAUUGCCUGAUCCCAGUUUUAUUAUACAGCUUAAAUACAGACCAGAAGAGGAGUUUGGGGCUUGACACCUGACAUCUUAACACCAGUUCCUGUUUCUUGAGGAAGGAAGAGGUAAAAUAAAUCAGCAUUUACUGUGUCCUUCUCCAUCCCCGGAAGUCUUCAUGAAGACCCUCUCAGCUUCUACUUGAACGUGAAUAUGAGCAACUGAUCAUCUGUUCUGCGGUCAGCCCCUGGCCUGAUUCUGACUCAUGAUAUUGACCUUCUCCAUCAUCACCUUCCACAAAUUUGAUUCCUAUCUAUUCUGCCUGGAAUAGUUCAUGAGUAUAGUCACCAUUUAUGUUCCUGACGAAAGACAUUAUGCUCAUUCUCAGGGCCCUGAGACCUCAUCUGCAGCAGGUGAAGGCAUUCGUGGAGAGAGGCGGUUUCCGUGCGUGCAGGCAAAGUGUGUGCUGAGAUGAGUCGCUGGAGACUGGGGUGGACUCUUCAGACCCAGGAUAGGCCUCUGGCAGGUAUAUGUCAAUGUUUUCUGCCCAUGGCACUCACCCGGAUAUUUGCAUACAAUGUUAUCAGUGGAAUUAGUAGUCUCCAGAGAGGCUGCCACAUGUCAGCAAGCUUCACCUGGCCAGGUCCGCCCAGGAUGUAGCUCCCCAAUCAAUCACUACUCUCUAGACCUUCCAGAUAGACUAGCAGAUCUUCUCUGCCCAUGGGCAACCAGUAGAGCCAGAGGCCUUCUCUCUUUGCUCUUUCGUCUCUAGGCAUUCUAUCAGGCAUUCCAAGCUGUGAAGUGCCUGGGAGGAGAAGGAAGAGAUUUCAGAGAAUGAACACAUACAGAGAGACAGGCAAGAGACGGUGAGUGGGGAUGUCUUGCCUACUGAUAUCCUCAGGAAAGUGGGAAAAUUGGACCCUGGCCUGCUAUGACAAUGCCCUGAAGCAGUCCGCACCAGGGGCUCCCUUGUGCCUGCAUAGCCUUUCCCAGGGUGUGCUCAAAUCCUGUGGCCACUAGGUGUCCUGGGUCACAAUGGAGGGCCCUGUGUCAUCUGCCUGUUGGGCUGGAUCUCUGCCAUUGGCUGAGUCUUGUCACCAGGCCCAUCAUAAGCUCUGCCCACUCUUCCUGUGGGGGGACUGUCUCCAUGGUGAUGGCAAAGAAGCCUGAGUUCCGCCCACCUGGCCUUGACUUCACCUACCUGGCCUGCUGACCCUCACUCAGACCUCUGUGUUGAUCAAAAUGAAUGUCCGCCAGUGGCCAGGUGUCAGCAUCUGGGAUAAAGGAUUGGGGACCUUGCCUGGGGCAGAAGGCAGCCUAGGUCUGUGGGUACCUGGAAGUCUUGUGACUUCUGCCGCUGCUGCCAGUGACAGAUGGUGACUCCCACACUCACAUAUCCCCUGGUGGCAGAAGGAUAGUGAUGGGCGGAGAAACAUGGCUCCGGAGCACACUUUAAAUGCGGCACCAGCCAAAGGCCAGGGCAAGGAGUGGACGUCGUGGAGCUUAAUUGCAAGCCAGUGAAGGGCCCAAGGAUUUCUCCUAUAUGUGGCAAACAGGUCAUCCGUGUCCCCACGUCCAUAAACCAUUGGACUGCAGUGCCAGACUGCCAGGAUUUCGGCCUUGCCAUUGGAGCCCGUCCACAUACGCUGCGUUGCACCGGAGGCGGGGACAUGUAGACAGCAAAAAUUUGGAAAAUGGCAUCAUCUCUUCAAUUUCCCUAGCAUUGGCCUUUUUCAGUGGCAUGCUUUGUUUCCUAGUAGGAUAAGGCACUGACGGAGAAAGGCAGGAGUAUGUGUGUAGGAAAGGUGUGUGCCGAAAGGGUGACGACGUUGAGACCACGUUGGGAUCUUUAGUCCCAGGAAAGGCCCCUGGCAGGUGUGGGUCAAUGUUCUCUGCUCAUCCGAGUUGGCGGGGGAGGUUUUCACCAAACAAAGCAGCAGAGGAAUUAUUCGUAGCCUGAGAGGUUGCAUCUGCCCACAAGCUCCACCUGGCCAGGGUCCGCCCCUACUGUAUUGCCCAUGUCAAUCAACAGAAGCUAAGACCUUCCAGAGAGACUACCUGCUAUUGUCUACCCACCGGGAAGCGGUCCAGCCAGAAGCCUCCCCCGUUUCAUCUCCAGGCUCUCUGUCAGGCCCCUCAUACUUGUGAUGUGUCUCAGGGGUAGAAGGAAGAGAUUUCUCUGAAUGAACACAUCCAGAGAGGAGCCAUAGAUGCUGAGGAAGGGCGCCUUGUCUACUGAUAUCCUAGCGUAAGUGUAAAAGAGGUACCUGCCUGCUGUCCCAGUGUGUCGAACGUGUCCACAUCAGGGGUUGGCUACUGUAAAAUUAUUCCCUGGUGCCCUCGAUUUUGUGGCCAAAGACACGAGGGGCCGUUGUGUGUCCAUGGGUACAAUGGAGGGCUCUGCGGAACGGGCUGGUUAGGCUGGACUUCUCCUAUUGGCUCAGUGUUUGUGACUCGUCCCCGUCAGAAGUUCCGCCCAGCCUUCUGGUGGCUGUCUCCAUGAGGAUUGGGAAAGAAGCCCUAGGCCCCGCACUCGGCCUUCACCUGGCCUACCUGGCCUCUUUACCCUCAUCUAGACCGCUCUGUGCAUGAAAGAAAGGAUGUCGGCCACUGACCAAGCAUCCUCAUUUCCUUGGAAGUAUUAGGCUCCUUGCGUGGGCAGAAGACAGCCAAGGUCAGCCUGAGCCUAGACACCUAGUGACCUGUGACACUGCAGCCAGCGAUAGAUGUUGAUGUCCACGCUCAGGUAUCCGCAGUUGACGGAUUCAGAGUGGUCAGAGGAGAAGUGUAACUAGAGAUCACACACUCAUGAGGGCACGGGCCAAAGGUCAGGGAAAAUAGCUGAGGUCGUGGAGCUCUAGCGGAGCCAGUCAAGGGCCCAGGCCUCCCUCCUGUACGUGGCAAAGAGGUGUCACCUUCCGCAGAGUAUGCUGCCACCCGCAGACUCUGGACUGCUGGGGCCCUGGAUGCCCGGAUUUCGGCCUUGUGUUUGGAGAAGUGACGUGCAUGCAGUGUGCCACCGGGGGCUGUGGCCCAGCAGAAGCAAAAUCUUGAAAAUGGGAGCUUCAGUUGACUUUGCGUGUUCUCUCCCUUGGCUGAGUGCCAUCCUGUGUUUCCUAGCAGGAGAAGGCAUUCGUGGAGAAAGGCAGAUUCCAUGUGUGCAGGCAAAGUGUGUGCUGACAUGAUGAGACCCUGGAGACCAGGGUGGACUCUUCAGACCCAGGACAGGCCUCUGGCAGGUAUGUGUCAAUGUUUUCUGCCCGUGGCACUCAACCGGGUAUUUGCAUACAGUGUCAUCAGCAGAAUUAGUAGUCUCCGGAGAGGCUACCACAUGUCAGCAAGCUUCACCUGGCCAGAGUCCACCCGUGAUGUAGCUCCCCAAUCAGUCACUACUGUCUAGACCUUCCAGAUAGACUAGCAGAUCUUCUCUGCCCAUGGGCAACCAGU